CUUCAUCCUGCCGCCCUGUGAAGGUGCCUGCUUCUCCUUUGCCUUCUGCCAUGAUUGUAAGUUUGCUGAGGCCUCCCCAGCCAUGCGGAACUGUCCCUCUCAUUGACUGACUCUGACUAUCUCCUGUAAAAUUCAAAUUGCCCUGUGGCAACUGACAUAAAUUCUACCUACUUGUGACUCACUGGGAACACCAGAAUUCCUACGUAAGGAAUUGUCAUGGACUUCAGUCUCUCACUGAAAAUGAGGGAAAAUAAAAGGCAGGCAGAGCCCGGCAAGAAAGCCUGGACAGUGAAGGCUCCACCCCGUGGGCAUUAACCCUGGAUGUGCCCCGUCUCCCAGGCAGGGGACCCCGGCUCCAGGAUAUGCACAACCUGCGGAAACAGAGAUGGAUGAGCCCCACACUCCCCAGGAAUCCCCGUCCCAGGACUGAGCCACCAGAGCCUGAGUUACGGGCACACUCCUCUUGGAGUCCUCAGGCACCACUCUGCUGCCUUUGUAUGACCUUAGGAAAGUUGCUUACUCCUGCUCUGCCUCAGUUUACCCAUCUGUGAAAUAAGGCUAAUAAUAUUUCCUGACCUUGAAG
rnacentral:lncRNA from 10 species